UACGGAGGGUGCGAGCGUUGUCCGGAAUCACUGGGCGUAAAGGGCGCGUAGGCGGCAUGCCAAGCGUGUGGUGAAAGCCCGGGGCUCAACCCCCGGGUCGGCCGUGCGGACUGGCGUGCUCGAGCACUGUAGGGGCGGGUGGAAUUCCGGGUGGUAGCGGUGGAAUGCGUAGAGGAUCCGGAAGAACACCGGUGGCGAAGGCGGUCUGACUGGGGUCGAACUGACGGCUGAGGCGGC
rnacentral:rRNA from 1 species